rnacentral:rRNA from 1 species
AUACGAAGGGGGCUAGCGUUGCUCGGAAUCACUGGGCGUAAAGCGCACGUAGGCGGAUCGUUAAGUCAGGGGUGAAAUCCUGGAGCCCAACUCCAGAACUGCCCUUGAUACUGGCGAUCUCGAGUUCGAGAGAGGUUGGUGGAACUCCGAGCGUAGAGGUGAAAUUCGUAGAUAUUCGGAAGAACACCAGUGGCGAAGGCGGCCAACUGGCUCGAUACUGACGCUGAGGUGCGAAAGCGUGGGGAGC